rnacentral:miRNA from 1 species
UAUUAGGUUGGUGCAAAAGUAAUUGUGGUUUUUGCCAUUUUAAAAGUAAUUGUUAUUCUUUUUGAAGAAUAAUAAAAACCGCAAUUAGUUUUGCAACAACCUAAUAAUUUCUA